AGCUGUUUGCAGAGCAGCAGCCACUUACUCCUCACUUGAGGGAGGGUGAUAGGUAACAGCUCCUGUAUCAAGUGGGUGGGAGGGAGACAAAAAACAAAACAAAACAAAACAAAUGCAUGGGCCAUGCAGAUAACUCUGGUGACAGUAAAAAUGAGGGCCAAUAACAUGACACAGAGAAGUAUAAACUAAUUUUCGAAAAAUCGUGGCCUUUUUUUUCUAAUACUGAUGAUCUAGUAUGUUCUCUCUUAUUGGGACUGCACAUUUUUAUGUUAAAGAUAGGGUUGCCCAGCAAAGUUGAAGAAAAGCCUGGAUCAGCACAAGACCUUAUUAGGGAGGAUUUCAUGGUGCUUUCUGGACACAACAUGGCAGCAGUCUGUAAAUCAGCUCAGGAAGCAGUUGAUGGCUGUGUGGGGAGAGCUGGACUGGAAACUCUCAUUUUGAGUUGCAAGCAGCUCCAGGACAAUCCCAAUGGACCACAACAGGUGUAGGAGUGGUCUGCAAGGGAGCUGCUCCAGGAUGAAAGUCUCUCUCAAAAACAAGUUUCUUACAAAAACAAAACAAAACAGCAACAAUAACAGAAAGACAUCUACAAAGAAACUCAAAGUAUUGCAUCACCUACAAACUAAAUAAAAUCUAGUGUUGCCUUAUAUUUUUGUUUUCUCCAAGCUGCAUGAACAUGGGUGACACAUUUUCCUUCUGCAGGAAUUUUCAAGGCUUUCCACAGGAGUUUUUUGUUCAGAGAUGGAAGAACGCUCUCUCUGGGACAAGCUGGUGACUAAUGGCCUUGCUAUUGGGGCAGCCAGUCCCACUUCCUGCACUUUAGUUGUUUAAUGCUUCCCACUAUGAAAGACACUUCCAAGCUUUCCUGAGAAGUCAGAAGUUUUAACACCUCUUUUGGAAGCAAGCACUUGGAGUUUGGCAAGGAUAAAGCCUCUGGGCUGGAGAAGAGCCUUUGUCCCAGAUAUAAAUAUCUGAGAUAUUAAUAUCUGCUGUGGUUUGUCUUCCUCAAGAAAAUUUGGGCAGCCUGUCAAAAGAAUAACUGCACAUGAAUAUGCUCAUCAAAGUCCAGACCUCUACCACCGCCAGAGCAGUAGCAGCAGCACUACAUGCUGCAAUGGAAGAGCAUGGAGAUGGCCUGGAUGCUCUAGCUGGGGUGGAAAAACAAAAGCAAAUGGGUCCAGAGCUGCUCAGACAACGUCCUGGACAGAUAAGUACCUUUUAGUGGAUGCUGUGCUGGAACACUAGGUUGCAGAGUAGGCAGAGCUUGUGAGGUCUGAAUGAGCAUAUCCCAGAAACUGGUCUGGAUUCAGCUGCCACCUCUCUGUGCUGCUGCUUCUCCGCUGGCCUUGGGAAGGGGAAAGAAGGGAAACACCCACAGCAGUGUGAAACACCGAAGGAAAAGAGAUGAGAAGCUGGGAGAAGCUUCUGCAAUGCAUCAUUUGACAGGAAGUCAAGUUAUCAGAACGAAGCCAUAUAGAAACCUUACUCUGCAUCAGUUACUAUGGAUCAAGUAGCAUGAAACUUUAAAAUAAGAAUUUUAAUUCAGCUGGAAAGCGAUGAAGGAGGCUUUGGGUGGCAUGAGACUGCCGGCAACCACAAGCAGCUUCAUAAAAGAUGACAGAGUGACGAAAACUGUAGCUUUGAUUUCUCUGUUGGUUUACACAGGGCUACGGUAUUUCUGAUUGCCAGAUCAACCACCUAAACCAAUGAGGACCAGUCUGGAGUUGGCUCCCAGUCCAUUUUCUGUGAAGACUCACUGGCAUCUGGAUGUAUUAUUCCAAAAGGCAACAGAACUGGAUUCUUAUUGCCAUUGACUUCUGCAAGCUGGCCAAAAUCAGAGGUGGUCUGAGCUUCAGACUGGAAGGCUCUCCAAGCAGUCAUCAGAUUCUGUCCAUCUUCUUCGGCCUGCAGUGGUGUGAUGGGUUAUGGAGGAUCUGAGCACAUUUUCUCAAUGAAAAUGUUGUACCUGGAAUUUAUUGUUACCCAUUCAUUAACCAUGUAUGGUUAUUUCAGCUUUACAUUUCCAUUUACUGUACUGUGAAAGUGAGGCUCAUUUCUGCUGCCUCAGUUAUAAUUUCUUUGCCUGGUAUGGGAUAUUCUCCCAUUAUACAAUGGAAAUAAUCUUUCUUAGUAUGAUUGUUAUUUUUGGAGUAAUAAAUCAGGCACUUUAAUUCCAUGUUGCUAGUAAAUUUCAGGAAAUAAUCUCUUUUUUAAAUCUUUCCUCCUUUUGGAAUAAGAGGAAGAUUAAGGUGUAUCCCAAAGAUUUUGACAUUUGGCACAUUGGAUUAUAUAAAAGUCUCAGCAUUCACACAAAUUAAAACAAGAAAAUAAGUCUCUAAAAUGCACACCAUUAUUAUAUGUUCAUAAUUAGAAAUAAGAGUUUAAAAAUGACAGCUGCGUUAGUAUAUGCAUGAUAAAAUUACACCUAAAUUAACAAUGUAGCAGGGAAUGUGAGCAAUCUGUGUAUGUCUGCAAGACAGUAGAUCCCAACAGCAUCUUCAGAGGUAUCCACAAGCUUCAUGCCCUCUGCUCAAUGCCCAUUAGCAGUUACUUGUUUUUCUGCUCAAAUACACCCUGACUGCUGGAUUUGUACCAUCCUUCUCUGUCCCUUUUUUCACACCAAGUCCAUCCGCCCUGCAAGGAAAAGGGGUUCUGCUAUUCCUGACGAUGCUGAAAGACUAUGCAUUUGUAGUCCUUCUGUAGAAAAUAUUUCAUUCAUUUAAAAUUCAGCCUAAAUAACUGAUAAUAUUGCAGCACAUGACAAACAUAUGGCCUCUUUUUGCUGAAAAACUUCCAUCAGGUCUGUAAUGUUAGAAAAAUUACUCUUGCAAGCUUAUUCUCCUUUUAUUGACUGUUCCUGAAUGCCCAACACAGAAGCCCUGUGUGAGUUACUAGAACUCUACAUGAAAGUAAGUAUUCUUUUAAAAAUAAAUUCAAAUUAAAUGUAAUCCUUUUAGCUUUGCCACUUUUCAAGAGCAAAUGUGUAGCAACUCUACAAUUAGCUGCCAUUUCUUCUCUGUAAUAUUAAAGGAACUUACAGAUCUUCAGUUGCCAUUGAAAUGUCUCUGUAAACUGUGCAACCUUUCACACAAAAGAUAAUUAUGAAAGUGCUAACAUUCAUUUGACCACAACCAAUAAAUAAUUUAUGAACUGGGUGUUUGAAAUUAUGCAAAUAUUAUAAAUACUUUUUGUUGCCUGUACAUCUGAGUAAGUAUGAUUCAGAAGAAAGUGUGCUAUGGAUUAAUAGAUUCAACAUUUAGCAGAUUUGCAUUUUUACAGUGUUCUUUUCUUUGCUGGUUCCUACUAUCUUUAGUAUCAUAACUCAGAAAACAACGCCUGACAAUACAGUCUCUAAGUGUAUUUCAAUAUCCUGGCAUCCCUAUUCAUCAGUUUCUUUGAUGCUUAAAAUAUUUUUGCCAUCCUUACAGAGCUCUUUAUCAAGGGAAAGAGAGGUCCUAGUAUCAAACUCACCACAAGCCUUCUGGUCCCUCCACCUCCUGUAUUUAUUUAUUAUUAUAUGUAUGUACUUGACUUCUGCAUAGUUCUGGUGAUGCUGUGAAUGUAACGCUACCCUUCAGCAGCUUGACUAUUGUUAUCCUUAUUGCCUAAGUACUGUAAGAACAUUGAUUAAUGUAUUUCAAAACCAAGACAGACCAUUAUGGUCAACUGGUCUGACCUUUGGCAUGAUGCAGGUUGUGGAGUUCUCCCAGUAAUUCCUGCAACAAGCCCAGU